CAGCGGCAGACGGGUGAGUAACGCGUGGGAACGUACCUUUUGGUUCGGAACAACACAGGGAAACUUGUGCUAAUACCGGAUAAGCCCUUACGGGGAAAGAUUUAUCGCCGAAAGAUCGGCCCGCGUCUGAUUAGCUAGUUGGAGGGGUAACGGCCCACCAAGGCGACGAUCAGUAGCUGGUCUGAGAGGAUGAUCAGCCACAUUGGGACUGAGACACGGUCAAAAUUUCAACGGGAGGCAGCAGUGGGGAAUAUUGGACAAUGGGCGCAAGCCUGAUCCAGCCAUGCCGCGUGAGUGAUGAAGGCCCUAGGGUUGUAAAGCUCUUUUGUGCGGGAAGAUAAUGACGGUACCGCAAGAAUAAGCCCCGGCUAACUUCGUGCCAGCAGCCGCGGUAAUACGAAGGGGGCUAGCGUUGCUCGGAAUCACUGCGCCCCACAGGGUGCGUAGGCGGGUCUUUAAGUCAGGGGUGAAAUCCUGGAGCUCAACUCCAGAACUGCCUUUGAUACUGAGGAUCUUGAGUUCGGGAGAGGUGAGUGGAACUGCGAGUGUAGAGGUGAAAUUCGUAGAUAUUCGCAAGAACACCAGUGGCGAAGGCGGCUCACUGGCCCGAUACUGACGCUGAGGCACGAAAGCGUGGGGAGCAAACAGGA
rnacentral:rRNA from 1 species